GAUGAACGCUGGCGGCGUGCCUAACACAUGCAAGUCGUACGAGCUCGAUCUUCGGAACGGGUUAGUGGCGCACGGGUGAGUAACACGUAGGUGACCUACCCCAGAGUGGGGGAGUAACUUCUCGAAAGAGAGGCUAAUACCGCAUACACUCGGUCAUUCAUUGGCCGAGCAAAGCUCCGGCGCUUUGGGACGGGCCUGCGUCCGAUUAGCUAGUUGGUAGGGUAAUGGCUUACCAAGGCUUUGAUCGGUAGCUGGUCUGAGAGGACGAUCAGCCACACUGGCACUGACACACGGGCCAGACUCCUACGGGAGGCAGCAGUGAGGAAUAUUGGGCAAUGGGCGAAAGCCUGACCCAGCAACGCCGCGUGAGGGAUGAAGGCC
rnacentral:rRNA from 1 species